rnacentral:ncRNA from 1 species
UAAAAGUUUGAUUUUAGCUUAAAUAUUUAUAUUAUAAUUAUUUUGCAUGUAAAUUAUUGUGGGUAAUUUAUUUAUUUUAAAUAAGUAUUUAAAUAUAUUUUUAUUAUUUGCAGCAUUUGAUUUUAAUAAUUUAAGAAAUUUAGAAUUAUUAAUUAUUAUAUACAUAGGCUUAAAUUGUGCCAGCAGCUGCGGUUAAACAAUUUAUGUAAUUAAAUAUUAUUAAUUUAUAAUUUUAUUUUAUUAAUAAAAUAUAAUUGAUUUUUAAUUAGGUGAAAUUUUUAAUUAUUUUAUUAUUUUUAAAUUUUAUUUAAAUUAUGAAAUCUAAAAUUUAAACUAGGAUUAGAUACCCUAUUAUUUUAGAGUUAAAAUUUUAUUUUAAGGAUUAAUAGUUAUGGUCUUUAAACUUAAAAAAAUUGACGGUAUUUAAAUCUAAUUAGGGGAAUUUGUUUUUUGAAUGAUAAUCCGCAAGAUACCUUACUUUAUUUUUUAAUUUGUUUAUUGUCGUUAUAAAAAUAUUUUAUUAGAAAAUAAAUUUUUAAAAAUUAAUAUAAUAAUUUAUUUCAGAUCAUAGUGCAGUAAUAAUAAAGUUAAAAUGAAUUACAAUAAAAUUUAUUUAAAUGGAUAUGAAAUUGAAAUAUUUUAUUAAAGGUGGACUUAAUAGUAAAAUUUAAAAUUUUAUAAAUUUGAAUUUAGAAUUAAAUAUGUACAUAUUGCCCGUCACUCUCAUUUUUAAAAUGAGAUAAGUCGUAACAAAGUAAGUGUAUUGGAAAAUGUACUUAGAAUGU